ensembl:lncRNA
CCAUUUUCAGAAAGCAUUAAGCAUCCUGAAAUCUGUACCUUGGAGAGCUUAGCCCAAUUAGGACUAUGUUUAUAAAGCAAUUUGGGCUACACAGAGAUUGAUUUACUCAAAAAGGGAAUUCAAAAGUGCCUUGACACUUGUCUCCCGUGGAUAUGAGCAUCUGUUCUGAAGUGUAACUGUACUCUCAUAACAAUUCCAAGGGUAAUAACUGCAUUUCCUGAAUAGAGCAAAUCCAGGUCCUUCUGUGCUAAGAACACGCGUCCUGUAGGAUUGUCAGCUUUCCCUAAAUACACAAUUAAUUCUGCCAGUAACAGUAGCAGACACUUAUAUGCCCACACAGGGAGUUGUGUUACAUAUGACUUGCCACUGCAUUUAUUUUUCAGUGUUUUAAAUGAGGACAGGGGGAGGUAAAGCAGCUCACUGGACUGAAUGACCCGUCCUGUAUUCCAGGUGCACUUGUGAUGAUUAGUGCCAAAAAACAGGCAGCAGAAGGAGGCCCUUUUAUAGUCAGCUAAUAGAAAGUCCCUGGUCUAAGCAUGAAGAAGACAGUCUAGAUUUGAAAACAAGGAGCUGAGUUUUACUUCCUCUUUUCUUCAACUAAAAUGUGCCGUCUCGACCAAUCUACAAGCUGGAUCAGCCUUUAAGUUGAACAGGGUUUGACUGAGAGCCUGCAGUUAUGUUCAGUUUAGUGAAGAGUUGUAUUGGGAGGUAUUAUGUAUUCAGGGUUCUGGUACAGGAUGACUCCACAUGGCAUUUCUGAAAUGCUGAUAGCCACAGGUGGGAAGGUCCCCUGAUUUUCUCCAGGAGCUGCAGGAUACUCAGGCAGAAACGGACACAGGAAUUGCUACCAGUGAGAAAAAGCUCUGCUCAAAGGAAAAGUCCUGCUGAGAUGGUGGAUGGACUCAGCUCCUGCUCAGCUGUUGUGAGCAAUCGCUCUGGCUGCAGGGGAGAAGUAAGACUCCGUAAGCACCUGCCACAAAAGAAUAGGUGUAAACUUACCACUGAACAAGACAAAACUACUGUGCUACAUGGCUUUGACUGCCAUUCACACUGAGCAGAACUCUUCUAAUCUGCAAAUACUGCAAAAUAAAAAGGUAACUUUGCAGUAUUUGUAUGCUUCUUGAAAUGACGCUGCUUCUGGAAUUCCUUGUUUAUCACAUCCCACAGACUGCCAAGCCAAAUCUGCCCUACUUUGAAAUAAAUCAUAAAUUCAAAUUGUUUCAAUCCAGUCCUGAAAACCUCCCCAGGAAUCUAACAGUCCAGGUGGCUGGCUGCGUCAAUAGGAGAGACUUCAAAGAUCUGAAGUUAGAACUGAAUGAGCAGAACAACAGGCGCCAGUUAACCCAGACAGACCCCAUCCUUCCUCCGCCAAAUGACAGUGGAGGGAGGGGGGAUGGGAAAGGCAGCAAGUUGUUGCAAAAGGAUUGUAAUCAUUGGAGACUGCAGAUUUGAUUCUGAAUGGAUCAACGGGCUUUGAUUAAGCAUCAGGAUGCUUUUCCUCUCUCUUGCUCUUUUCUCCAUUUUUCAGUGCAGAAGAAACCCCUUGGGUCCAGUACCAAACCCUAAUGAAGACUACCAUCAAUUCAAUAAGCUCAGUAUGACACUUUCUUAAUGACUUUAUGCCCUUCAUCAUAAUGCAGCCACAAAACGAAGUGAUAUUCUGAGUGCAGCAAGAAGAUUAAUUCCAACUCUGCGUGCUAAGAGAAAAAUCCAUGGCUCUGUCAUUGUGUAAACAAAAAAUGUAAAUAAAGGAAAAAUUAAGAUGUUU